GGAUGUUGCGUAAAGGGAAAGGUCGUAGUCAAACCCCACAGCCACGCGAACUCAAAGUCAGCCACGAAUAGGCUAUCCCAACUAACGGCGGGAAAGACUCCACGGAGGGUGUAAGACCCGUGUGGGCGCGUGUCAAAGCUGUGCGGGCUCGGCCUCUAUUCCCUGAGAGUCGCGUUGCUUGAGCAUGCAGCGCUAAGCAGGUCGUAAACUCGAUCUAAGGCUAAAUAUCUCCACAGAACCGAUAGCGAACAAGUACCGUGAGGGAAAGUUGAAAAGCACUCUGGAGAGAGAGUCAAAAGACCGUGAAACCGCUCAGAGUAUAAGCCCAUGGCAGCUUGGAAGGCAUAUCGCUAGCGGGGCAUCGGUCUUCCUUCGCGGGGAGCUGGUGUUACCUUGCUUCUGUUGUGGCUCGUUAUGGUAGGGGGGUCAAGUCCACAUCCCGCCGUCGUGUGGGGGGUUCUCGGGUGUGUUGUGGUUUUUCGGUUGGUUUCGGCCGGCCGGAGGGCUCUUCGUGCUCGGUUCCUCUUUAGACACGGACGUUCAGACUCAGAGGCAAGACGCGAUAAACAGCCCACCACGGCACGUUGUGAGGUCACCCACAGGCUCGACUUCCGAUCGCGAACCUUGACGCCGAGCAAGCACAAUGCGUGUCGCUGAGGUUCCUAACCAGGCAAAAUGCUGCCAGGACCGUGGAACGACACGCGCUCAACAGUCAGGUUCGGGCGGAGACAGAGUUCUGGUACGAUCCUCUUGCGACGAGCCGGCUUCUGGCCAACAUCCGAUGCUCAGGUCUCCCGCAUGUGCCGCGGGAGAUCGCCUUGACGGUCUGGAUCUUUCACGAGUCCUCUCAGUCGGGCAACGGAUAGAGUGGUGUAAAGUCCAAGCCCAUCGGUCACGUCUCGAAACACGGGCCAAGGAGUAUAGCAUGUGUGCAAGUCUAAGAGUCUCACAAAACUCGAAGGCGAAGUGAAAGCAAGUAAGCGGCGGGUGAUCUACGGAGAGAUCCCGUCAGCUAAAGGGGCUCUCGGGCCUCU
rnacentral:rRNA from 1 species